CUCAGUUAUUAUGAUUUGACCCCAACCAUUAGAAGAUGUCUUUUAUAUUGUGCUAUUUUUCUGAAAGAUUAUCAAAUUGAUAAACUUGAGUUGAUUAGCUUAUGGAUGUCACAAGAUUAUCUUUGUGCCAAGGAAGAGAUAGAAGAUAUUUGUAUGGUGGGUGAAGCAUGUUUUAAUGACUUGGUAAUGAGGUCUUUCUUCCUAGACUUGAAGAAAGAUAAUGAAGGAAAUAUAAAAUGCUGCAAGAUGCAUGACAUUGUUCAUGACCUUCUGCAGUAUCUUACUAUUAAUGAAUUUUUUAUUCUGGAUGCUAGGCUUCUUGGCAGGAGAUUCAACCUACCAGAUAAUAACGUUCGUCACAUACACAUAAUAUUUGACAGUGACAGUAUAUAUUUUCCUUUUAAAAAUUUGCGUACAGUCAUAUUGGAUGGCAAGUGGGUAUUUGGUGUACAGUCUCUUACCCAAUUGAGAAGUCUUAGGACCUUGAAUAUGAGUAGAUUUUGGGGAGUUAUUCCAGAUGAGAUCGGGGAAUUGAUACAUCUGAGAUAUCUCAAGUUAAGUGGUAAUCCUUCGAAUAAAUUACCCGAAACUCUGUGUGAUCUGUAUAAUCUGCAAACCUUGAUAAUUACCUUCUGCAGUUCUCUCAGAAAACUACCCGACGGGAUGGGGAAGCUGAUAAACUUAGAGCAUCUCGACGUUAGGGGAUGUGAUAGUCUAGAUUUAAGUGGGGUUGAGAAAUUAGCUGGUCUGCGAACACUACUACAUUGAAGGUUUGAAAUAGCUAGAAAGUGGAAGAACUUGGAGGAGGAGCACUAUUUUCUCAAUUAGAUGAGGCCAUUUCAGAAUUUGAGAAGGUUUCCUCUGUGAUACCUUCACAACUGCAGAAUCAUCCCCUAGCCACGUUGAUCUCAAUCUCCUCUCGAUCAUCCAGGCUUUUCCCUUCUCCUUUAUCUGAAGCUAGCAAUGUCAAUUGUCAAGUGAUGACUCCCACAACCAGUUGACAAUAAGCAGAGAGAUUGAUGUUUAUUCAAGCCUUCAAGGUCAUGUAUAACAAUGUUGGGCGACACUCCAUAUUCUUGCAUCAUUGCAUAAUCUUCUAUAAAGCUUGAAAUGACUACUUCAACUUCUCUUUGAACAAGCAGAAGAACUCUUUUCAGAGGAAGUGUGGACAGCUCCUCGUGAUAUCGUAUUCUCAAUAUGGCUAGCACCCUUUUUAUGUAGGAAAUUGGAAUGUCAGAACUGAAAAGUACGACUUGAUUCCAGAUAAUCCUCAGUGUUUACAGAACAGAUUGGCGUGGAACUGCAUGCCUGCUUAGUUGUUAUAUGCUGUGUGGUAGGGAAUUGGGAGAUCAGGUGAUUCGAAGGUCCUCUACUAUUUAUGCAUCCAGUGUAGUCGUCAAUCUAAUUAUUGGCAUGGAUGCUACUUUUGGAAGAUAACGGAGCAAUGAUCACCAAUUCACCAUCAUGGAAAUAUAAUUCGUUCUCUGGCACCCAUUUGAGUCAUUUACAUAAUGGUAAACCUCAUUUGUGGCGAGAAAAGUGGGUCAAUGUGCAGAGGCCCUUUUUAUAAUCCGGCCUCUCAUCUUGUGGCUCUCCUAGUCUGUUCCCUGAAACGGAACUUCUAAUCCAACCACCACCCAGACUAGAGACGUUAAGGGUUUGCUCAUCAAAUUAGA